rnacentral:lncRNA from 1 species
CGUCUAACUCGAUUUGUUCCUUCGUAUUGUGAUGAGAGAAAACAGAGAAUAUGGUUCUCAAGUCAUCGUUAUUCUGAAGUUUCAUGUUGGUGUUUGUAACACGUCCAUCUGAGCCGACCUACAUACGACGAUACUCAAUACUGGACACCCUUCUUGCCUCACGACAAUUGAGACGGUCGUUGAGUUGGUUCGGUUGGUGCUUCAGAUCAGCCAACUUAACAUUGACGUGGAUCCUAAAAAGAUUCGACUUUCCGUUGUUGUAGUUUAUUGCAGCUAGGUGAGUGCUAUUUUGGAAUGAAAAAU